AGCAAGCAACACUUGCAUGUCACCAGGCAUUGCAAGAACGGGGGAGCCCUGCAUAAGUCUUCCUUUAAAAAGGGGCGAGCACCCUGUCAGUUGCUGCGGUACAUCUCAUGUGGGGGCGUAUAAAGAACGCGGCCGAUAUUGUGGGUGGUGAAAUAGGCGCUCGUCUCCGCUCAACGUCUACUUUCCGCCAGUGAUUUACAAGAUUUCGCUGCAGCGCUGCCGCUGCCCGACGUUGUCAUGAAGAUACUCGCGUACCUUGGCAUCAUCGUGGUUGGACUCGCGUGCGUAGCAGCACAUUUGGUUGCAGGAGGACAACACGGUUCAGUUCGGGGAAGAUGUGACCCACGUUUACUCAUUCGUUUCGGGGGUUACGCAAUCCCCGGACCCUGCGGUGGCCACAACGGCUGAUGGCUCGGGCGAUGCGUCAAGGAUGCGUCACUGGGCAUUACUGAAGAGUUUGAAAAGCACAGUAGCUACUUCUGAAUGUGCCGAAUAAAUUAUUUUUUUGUGCUGG